UGAGGAAUAUUGGUCAAUGAGCGAAAGCUUGAACCAGCCAAGUCGCGUGAAGGAUGAAUGUCCUAAGGAUUGUAAACUUCUUUUAUACAGGAAUAAAUGUUGCCACGUGUGGCAAUUUGCAUGUACUGUAUGAAUAAGGAUCGGCUAACUCCGUGCCAGCAGCCGCGGUAAUACGGAGGAUCCGAGCGUUAUCCGGAUUUAUUGGGUUUAAAGGGUGCGCAGGCGGGAAAUUAAGUCGGCGGUGAAAUUUUGCGGCUCAACCGUAAAAGUGCCUUCGAUACUGGUUUUCUUGAGUGUAGCUGAAGUAGGCGGAAUUUGUGGUGUAGCGGUGAAAUGCAUAGAUAUCACGAGGAACUCCGAUUGCGCAGGCAGCUUACUAAACUACUACUGACGCUCAUGC
rnacentral:rRNA from 1 species